ACCGACUGGCCAACGAAGAACGGAACCCUUGUACCAAAUGAUCCAAUAAUCGUUUCCGAUCGAGUAAAUUUACCGGACGGUUUGGAACACUUGGUGAAGGUAAUGAAUCUAACGGGGUCAUGGUAAGAAAAUGAGCUGGUGUCAAAGGUAUGGGAUCGGUUGGGUCAGUACUCAACCAAGAUAGAGGCCUGGAAUUUAGUAAUGCCUCUAUUUGAACCAAUACCGUAUUCAACUCUUCAUAUGAAAGAAUUUGAUCCCCGACAACUUUGUAUAAAUGGGUCUUAACACACUUCACUUGCACUUCCCAUAUACCGGAAAAAUGUUGACUAAAAGGAGGCUGGAAUUUCCAGCCCCAAUAAAGUUAGUACCAUUAUCGGAGUACACCACUGAACAUGCGCUGCUUCUGG